rnacentral:misc_RNA from 1 species
GAGAUAUGCUAAAUUAAGGUUUGAUUACCUCCAGCGUCCAGCUGCUCUCCCCCGCUUGGCGGCGACAGAACUUCCGUCAACGUCAACACUUUCCUCCACCACCACACAAGCUUAUUCUUAACCCUUUUCUACCCUCUAUGCGUUCCUUUCUUGGUUUUUUCCCAAUACCUAAUUCUUAACGCAGUUACAUCAUACCUUCAGCUUCUUCAACUCUCCGAAUUUGGUUUGACUGAAUGCCCAAUCUGCGUAUAGUUGAAGAAGGGGACCAUUGUUUGAUUGCAGAAUUCAUAGAAGCAUAAAGGAGAUGGAGAGAAAAGGGAGCCCAAAAUUGAAUAUCGCAAUCAUACACCCAGAUCUUGGUAUAGGUGGAGCUGAAAGAUUGAUUGUUGAUGCGGCUGUUGAACUUGGCUCCCAUGGCCACAAUGUUCAUAUUUUUACAGCUCACCAUGAUAAAAACCGAUGCUUUGAGGAAACUGUUUCUGGUACAUUGCUUUUAUUUUGUUUAUCACUCCAUAAUUCUUUGUUAAGUCUGUCUUUUUAAGUUGCAUAUUGGCGGAUUUAGAAGUAUAGUUCUUAGUUUAUUUAUCAGAGUCUUUAAGUUGGUCAAUAAUAUCUUUAGGAUAUUCAUUCAAAAAAAAAAAAUCUUUAGUAUAUCAGUACAAUUUUUUUUUAAAUAAUUUUAUUUUAAUUUGUUGUUUAUUCAGGGAUUUUAAAUGAAUUAUUACAAAAACACAAGUCAAAUAGGAGUGAAAUUUGCAAUUGCUUGAUUUACAUUACUGUAUUUUGUGGCUUCCAGAAAAGGAGGAAGAAAAAAAAUCCUUUGUGCCUCUUUCUGCUUUUCUCUUACAACCAUUUACAUCUUGUGUCUGGCUUAAAUCAUAUUGUAUUCCUGUUACUGUCAAUUACUUGUACAGGUACCUUUCCAGUUACUGUAUAUGGCUCUUUUCUACCUCGGCAUAUAUUUUACCGUUUACAUGCUGUUUGUGCAUAUUUGCGUUGUAUUUUUGUUGCUCUUUGCUUGCUGUUCCUGUGGCCAUCAUUUGAUGUUAUACUGGCAGAUCAGGUUUCUGUUGUCAUCCCAUUGUUGAAAGUUAAAAAAUCAACAAAGGUGGUAUUUUAUUGUCAUUUUCCGGAUCUGUUACUAGCUCAGCACACAACUGUUCUUCGGAGGUUAUAUAGAAAACCCAUUGACUAUGUAGAAGAAAUUACAACUGGAAUGGCAGAUUUGAUACUUGUGAAUAGUAAAUUCACUGCAUCUACCUUUGCAAAUACAUUUAAGCAUCUCCAUUUGCGAGGAAUUCGGCCUGCUGUUCUUUACCCAGCUGUCAAUGUGGAUCAAUUUGAUGAAUCUCAUUCUUAUAAGUAACUGAGAUGUUUGUAUAUGUCUUGAAUCUUUAGCUCUAGAAACGGUUUUGAAAUGACAUAAGAUGUUUGCUUAUCUCUUGAAUCUUUAGCUUGAGGAAUGCUUUUGAAGUAAAUAAUUUAUUUCAUUAUAUUUUUCCUGCUUAACGUGGCAUAGGUUGAAUUUUCUAUCCAUCAACCGCUUUGAAAGGAAAAAGAACAUAGAGUUAGCAGUUUCGGCAUUUGCAAUGCUUCACACUCUUGAUGAGCAUGCUUUUCAAAAACAUAUGCUAGCUGAUGCCACUUUGACUAUUGCAGGUGGAUAUGACAAACGAUUGAGAGAAAAUGUUGAAUACUUGGAAGAACUUAAAAGCUUAGCUGAAAGAGAAGGUGUGUCUCACCGAGUUAAGUUCAUCACAUCUUGCUCAACAGCUGAAAGAAAUGCUCUUCUUUCCCAAUGCCUGUGUGUCAUUUAUACGCCAAAGGAUGAACACUUUGGAAUCGUACCAUUGGAGGCAAUGGCAGCUCAUAAACCUGUCAUUGCAUGCAACAGUGGGGGUCCUGUGGAAACAGUAAAGGAUGAAGUGACAGGCUUUCUUUGUGAUUCUACUCCUAAAGCGUUUUCUCUGCCUAUGGCUAAACUCAUUCAGGAUCCCCAGAUUGCCAAGAGAAUGGGUGAACAGGCACGGAAGCAUGCCACUGAAUCAUUUUCUACAAAGAUUUUUGGCCAGCAUUUGAAUCAGUACCUCAUCAGCGUUGCUGGCAACAAGGAGGACUAACAGUCAAUAUAGCAGACGAUAACAAAACCAUUCCGCACUACUUUGUACAAGAUAAUUUCAACAGAAAGCAUCUCUUGAUAAUUUGCGAGUUGUGCAUCUUUGAGCCGUUAGGUCAUUUUAUUUACAUAGAUAUAUUGCAGUGGUCCCUAGAGUUGAAAUACAAAUCUAUCAUAGCAGUUUGAUCCUUAGGUUGCUGUGUGCGAGAAGGAAAUUUAAUUUGCCCACCUCGUUGACGAGAUGGUCUUCACUGUAUGUAGAAACACACUAAGUCGACAAGACUCUCUUAAAAAUGAACACUUCUUAAUAAAGUUUUAGGCGGACGCAGAGCUACCAGAAGUGGUCGUCUGGUUACUAGGCAAAAUGUUUGCACAGUUCUAUGGAGAAAUCAAACAAAUUUCGACCUUCUAACCAUGUUCAUUUUAUGAUCCAU